UACGGAGGGGGCUAGCGUUGUUCGGAAUUACUGGGCGUAAAGGGCGCGUAGGCGGCGCGAUAAGUUGGGCGUGAAAGGCCCGGGCUCAACCCGGGGACUGCGCUUGAUACUGUCGUGCUGUGAGUCCGGGAGAGGAUGGCGGAAUUCCCAGUGUAGAGGUGAAAUUCGUAGAUAUUGGGAAGAACACCGGUGGCGAAGGCGGCCAUCUGGACCGGCACUGACGCUGAGGCGCGAAAGCGUGGGGAGCAAACAGG
rnacentral:rRNA from 1 species